CCCUUAGAUGUUCUGGGCCGCACGCGUGCUACACUGAGUAAUUCAAUGGGUAAGGGAACGCUAGAGCAUUUCCUAAUCUUGAAAUUUGCUCGUGAUGGGGAUCGACGGUUGCAAUUUUCCGUCGUGAACGAGGAAUACCUUGUAGGCGCAUGUCAUCAUCAUGCGCCGAAUACGUCCCUGCCCUUUGUACACACCGCCCGUCGCUCCUACCGAUUGAGUGAUCCGGUGAGGCUCUGGGACCUGGACGGAAAGAGCGUUUCGCUUGUUCUGUUUGGGAAACUUGGUCGAACCUUAUCAUUUAGAGGAAGGAGAAGUCGUAACA
rnacentral:rRNA from 1 species